rnacentral:rRNA from 1 species
AUGUCAUGUGAACUGGUGCUUGCGAAAGAGGAACCACAUGAUAGAAAUGGGGCUACAGUAAACAAAGAUGGGCACCACGACCAACUGUUAUCAUCAUGUGAACUACAAAGUGACAAAAAGAGGAGACUGAGAUCUAUUGUACUAUCAAAUGACUCAAGAGGAAGAAUGAAAUGUGGCAAGUAUGACAGAAAGGAAGGGAAAAGAUGUCCGCAAGAACAGGAAAUCUGCUGGAGCAAAGUAAAAAAAAGGCUGGAAGACCAAGAGUACAAAGGUCAGAUGUUGUCGCUUUUUUUUUUGCAAAAAAGAAGGCCACACUGCAAAAAAAAAAUCCAUGUUACUGACAUCAUAAGGAAGAAGACAAGUGCCGGCUGA